ensembl:lncRNA LINC00378 long intergenic non-protein coding RNA 378
AUAUACAGCAUGGAACAGGGCUCCACAAGGACAUGAAUACCAGGUGGCAGGGAUCACUGGGCCAUCUCUCUAAAUCACGAAUGAAACAUUUGCAACCUGUGUCUCCCAAACAUGAUAUGUCUCAAUCAUCAAAGGAUCUACAGUGACUACAAUAACCAAGUGCUACAAAAACGCUGUGACGAGGAAUCUGAACAACAGAGAUUUGAGGGAAACAAAACACUUUCGACGAAGGUCCUGCUGCUUGUCUUCAGCUUGGUACCAAUUAGAGCUUCACUGGAGGUGAAAAGGGCAGACACGGUUGCUGAGUGGCUGGUUGGAGAGUCCCUGAGAGAUUACCCAAGAAACUCAGUUGCGGCACGUGGUGGAGCAGCCUCUCAGAUAUUUCUCCAUCCCUCUACUUUGAGCCUAUGGAUGUUGUUACAUUUAAGGAAAAAUCAGUGUUCUUGAGGCUUGCUUUGCAAAAGUUCAUUGCUUUAACAUGCACCCACUUCAGAGAUGUGAAGACGUCAGAGAUGCUGGUUGCAAGUAAAGACGGUUUGUUGUAUAAAGAAAAUACUUCAUGUCUUGCUGUCUGAAGCUCCAGAGGGCUCUGCUUUAUGUGUUUUCCAACAAAGAUGACAUUUAGAAGAACAAAGAAUAUUAAGGCAGAAGACCUGGUUUUUUUUCUUGGAUGCAACAACUACUUUAAAUGGUCUCCCUGACUCUAAUCUUCCCCGAACAGUCUCUUUACCUCCUAUAUUUAGAAAGAUCUUUUUAAAAAGGAAAUUUUCUAUCUUUAAUUAUCUGUUUAACUAAACAGAUUUUUUUUUUUACUGUCUUUAACAUUAAGUCCAAAUUCCUCAUCAUAAUUUACAAAACUACUUAAGAUUCUUGUUCUAUUACUGCUUCCUGUUCACUCCUUCCUUUUGCAGUCUUUGCUAAAGCAUACUGAAUUGAUAUCAACUCCUUAAACAAGUCAUAUUGUUUUGCAACUCUGGGGCCACCUUUAUAGCUCUCCCUUGUCCUUGAGUAUUCUAACCCCAUCCCUUCAUCUGUAUAAAUCCCACUCUUCAUUUAGAUUUUGGCUUCAGGUUACUAUUUUAAAGAGCUUUGCUUGGCUCCUAGAAAUACAGCACCAUGUAUUUCUUCUAUCAUAACAUGUCCCUUUCUUUUCUGGUAUAUUUCCUGGUAUAUUGUAAGCUCUGUGAGAUUGGGGCCUGUAGGUGCCUCCAACAUGUAGCACAGUACCUGGCACACUGAAUGAGAAAAUGCUUUGUAUGGAGUUUAUAUCUCAGUUAUGAAAUGUAUUAGCUACAUGACCAUGGGCAAAUUAUUUGACCUUUUAAAAUAUCAUUAUCCUUAUCUCUACAAAUAAAUCUAGAACUAAAUUAUCU